rnacentral:lncRNA from 1 species
AAAGAACUACUUCUCGUGUUGGGUCAGUCCUAGCACAUGUCUCCACAUGUGCCCACAUUAUUAGUUUAACAUCUCCAUGUCCAUGACUUGUGAAACAUAGUCAUCAACUAAUACAUGUGCUGGUCUAAUAUUCAUGUGUGUCCUCACAUGAACUCUGACUAGGGACAACUUUAGAAUAACCAUACAAGUAAAGAGUUUCACAUACAAUUCACAUAAUUGCAAAUCAAUUCAAGUAAUCUUUAAUGGAUAUUCAAUGAACACAAUAUACAAAUCAUGGAUACAAAUGGAAUAUCAUCAUCUCUAUGAUUGCCUCUAGGGCAUACCUCCAACAGUCUCC